AUAUCAUUAAGCGGAGGAAAAGAAACUAACAAGGAUUCCCCUAGUAACGGCGAGUGAAGCGGGAGGAGCUCAAAUUUGAAAGCUGGCGUCUCCGGCGUCCGCGUUGUAAUCUCGAGACGUGUUUUCCGUGCGGCACCAUGGACAAGUUCUCUGGAAAGGGACAUCGUAGAGGGUGAAAAUCCCGUACUUGCCGUGGCUGUACCGUGCUUUGCGAUACCCGCUCUAAGAGUCGAGUUGUUUGGGAAUGCAGCUCAAAAUGGGUGGUAUAUUUCAUCUAAAGCUAAAUAUUGGCCAGAGACCGAUAGCGCACAAGUA
rnacentral:rRNA from 1 species